rnacentral:lncRNA from 1 species
UCUUCAUAAAAGACUUGUUUGGCAUAGAUUCUUCUAAAAUCAUUGUCCUCCAAAUUAUUUUAACAUCCAUUUAUCGAUUACAUAUUCUUCAAUAAAAAAAUCAUUUUUUACUUGAAAAAAUCUGUGCAAACCUUGGGCAACGAAAAGAUUCUCGCAAUCAACUGUCAAAUUUCCUGCCCGACUGGUAAAUGUGCCCUUCGCAUAAGCAGACUCUAAUGGUCUACUUGCAAAGAAAUGAAAAUUUUUCAGACACCCAAAAUGCUAGAGCAUGUAACUUCGAUCAAAUCAGUUCACUGGAAUUAGUGUUGUAAAAGUUCAAUUCAGAUUAUGGAAAAUCAAAUAAGGGAGUGCAGUUAAUUUUCUGCAGGAAUUGAUCAUUCUACUGCUCUAGAAUUGAUUUCUUGCUCCCAAUGGACAAGAAAAAAACUUUCCAUUGCUAAUAUGGCAAGAGAGCCUUUUAUGAUAACCAUAAGUGAAGUUCAACAGUGGAUAGAUCUUAUCCUGCCCACCGUGGGGAAGGAGAUAAGGCCUGUCUCUUGCUCAUUAUUAGAAUUUUUAAGAAAAGGAAACAGAAAAGGAGAUGCUGUCACUGUAAAUCAUAGUUCAUACACACAGAGGUCUAAUUUCGUGAUUGACCAAAGCUUAAUGGAAUAAACAAACGCCUGCAAGUCAAACUAAACCAUGAAUAAGGUACCAUCUACUGCUUGAUUAAUCAGAGCAAGGAACCUAGUUGCGCUAAGAGAGACCAUUUUAU